UACGAACUGUGCAAACGUUAUUCGGAUUCACUGGGCUUAAAGGGUGCGUAGGCGGCCAUGUAAGUAGGGUGUGAAAUCCCCCGGCUUAACCGGGGAACUGCGCCCUAAACUGUGUGGCUUGAGUGAGAUAGAGGUGUGUGGAACUUCCGGUGGAGCGGUGAAAUGUGUUGAUAUCGGAAGGAACGCCGGUGGCGAAAGCGACACACUGGGUCUCAACUGACGCUGAGGCACGAAAGCCAGGGGAGCGAACGGG
rnacentral:rRNA from 1 species